CCUACGGGAGGCUACAGUGAGGAAUAUUGGUCAAUGGACGAGAGUCUGAACCAGCCAAGUAGCGUGAAGGAUGACUGCCCUAUGGGUUGUAAACUUCUUUUAUAUGGGAAUAAAACGUUCCACGUGUGGGAUUUUGUAUGUACCAUAUGAAUAAGGAUCGGCUAACUCCGUGCCAGCAGCCGCGGUAAUACGGAGGAUCCGAGCGUUAUCCGGAUUUAUUGGGUUUAAAGGGAGCGUAGGUGGAUUGUUAAGUCAGUUGUGAAAGUUUGCGGCUCAACCGUAAAAUUGCAGUUGAAACUGGCAGUCUUGAGUACAGUAGAGGUGGGCGGAAUUCGUGGUGUAGCGGUGAAAUGCUUAGAUAUCACGAAGAACUCCGAUUGCGAAGGCAGUUCACUGGACUGCAACUGACACUGAGGCUCGAAAGUGUGGGUAUCAAACAGGAUUAGAUACCCCUGUAGUC
rnacentral:rRNA from 1 species